GUAGGUGGUUUGUAAAGCGAAUAGUGAAAUCUGGCGGCUCAACCGUACAGGCUAUUAUUUGAACUCACAAACUCGAGAAUGGUAGAGGUUACAGGAAUUUCUAGUGUAGGAGUGAAAUCCGUAGAUAUUAGAAGGAACACCAAUGGCGUAGGCAGGUAACUGGACCAUUUCUGACACUAAGGCACGAAAGCGUGGGGAGCGAACCGGAUUAGAUACCCGGGUAGUCCACGCCGUAAACGAUGGAUACUAGCUGUUGGGGGUAUCGACCCCUUCAGUAGCGAAGCUAACGCGUUAAGUAUCCCGCCUGUGGAGUACGGUCGCAAGACUAAAACGUAAAGGAAUUGACGGGGACCCGCACAAGCGGUGGAUCGUGUUCUUUAAUUCGAUGCUAAACGAAGAACCUUACCAGGGUUUGACAUCCUUGGAAUUUCUGCGAAAGUAGAAAGUGCUUUAUUGAACCAAGUGACAGGUGAUGCAUGGCCGUCGUCAGCUCGUGUCGUGAGAUGUUUGGUUAAGUCCAUUAACGAGCGCAACCCUUGUGAUUAGUUGAAUUUUUCUAAUCAGACUGCCCCGGUAACGGGGAGGAAGGAGGGGAUGAGGUCAGGUCAGUAUUUCCCUUACAUCCUGGGCUAGAAACACGAUACAAUGGCAAGUACAAUGCGCAGCGAAGCCGCGAGGUGGAGCAAAUCGCAUCAAAACUUGUCCCAGUUCGGAUUGGAGGCUGAAACUCGCCUCCAUGAAGUCGGAAUCGCUAGUAAUCGCAGAUCAGCAAGCUGCGGUGAAUACGUUCCCGGGUCUUGUACACACCGCCCGUCAAACCAUGAAAGUGACCAACACCCGAAGUCCGAUUCGUCGGCCUAAGGUGGGGGGCAUGAUUGGGGUU
rnacentral:rRNA from 1 species